CUUGAGGCGAGAGAGCGGCGAUCUCUUGUGACUUGCUGGGAAGACACCGCAGGUAAUGACAAUGCAUCCCGGAAGAAGCAAGCGAUUGCGCUAAGAACUCCUACAUUAUUGGCAAGCUAGGAUACAAUCAAUCCUUUGCUUCUCUUCCUUUUCUUGCGAGAUAGAGAAAUGCUUCCUUCCUCUGGCAGAUCAAGCAGAGCACCACGACGAGGUUUUAUUGACCCACGAGCGCUGAUGAAAAUCAUCGGCACAAAGAUGGGUUUCAU
rnacentral:lncRNA from 1 species